rnacentral:lncRNA from 1 species
GGGCCAUAAAAUAAUUAAAUAUAGACCUAGAUGAGGCUGGACAUCAAAGGAAGCUACAAAUAAAUAAACUAGAAGAAAUCAGGAAUGAGGCAUGUUGGUGCAAAAAUCUGCCGGCGUCAAAGAAGCUGGAGUCGAGGGAGUCGCGGUCACCGUCGGGACAUACAAAGAAAGUCUAAAUCGGAGUUGGGGGUGCUCCGGCAAGAUCCUCCGACGCUCAAGUCAGUUCUCUGCCUCAACAAGAAUGGAGUGCUCGAACAGAAAUUUUAGCAGAGUUUUGAGAUAGAGAUUAGAGCUUAGAGAAUAACGUAUCUGGGGGUCCCCUUUUUAUAGGCAGAGGGCGUAAC